rnacentral:rRNA from 1 species
AUGGAGAUGGGGGCUACCGCGUCGCAGGUGGGGAAAGUGAAAGACAGAGGAGGAGCGAGGUUGGAGACUCGGAGUUCUGAUGUUUCCACCGUCGGCGGCGACGGCGAGACGGGGGUGGGGAAAGUGAAAGAAAGACAGAGAGGAGCAAAGUGGGGAAAAAAUAUGGGGGAUGAUGUUUCCACCGUCGGAGUCACCGCGUCGUGGGCCAUAACCCUUUCUCUUUUUUCUUUUUUACGAAUGAUGAAAAUUGCUGACCAUGCGGGUGGUCUUCGCACACGGUCGAGUUUAGAUCCUUUGUGGAUUGCUAACAUGGUUGCUGCCUAA